UGGGGAAUAUUGGACAAUGGGCGCAAGCCUGAUCCAGCCAUGCCGCGUGAGUGAUGAAGGUCUUAGGAUUGUAAAGCUCUUUCACCGGUGAAGAUAAUGACGGUAACCGGAGAAGAAGCCCCGGCUAACUUCGUGCCAGCAGCCGCGGUAAUACGAAGGGGGCUAGCGUUGUUCGGAAUUACUGGGCGUAAAGCGCACGUAGGCGGAUAUUUAAGUCAGGGGUGAAAUCCCAGAGCUCAACUCUGGAACUGCCUUUGAUACUGGGUAUCUUGAGUAUGGAAGAGGUGAGUGGAAUUCCGAGUGUAGAGGUGAAAUUCGUAGAUAUUCGGAGGAACACCAGUGGCGAAGGCGGCUCACUGGUCCAUUACUGACGCUGAGGUGCGAAAGCGUGGGGAGCAAAACAGGAUUAGAUACCCUGGUAGUCCACGCCGUAAAACGAUGAAUGUUAGCCGUCGGGCAGUAUACUGUUCGGUGGCGCAGCUAACGCAUUAAACAUUCCGCCUGGGGGAGUACGGUCGCAAGAUUAAAAACUCAAAGGAAUUGACGGGGUCAUAGCUGUUUCCG
rnacentral:rRNA from 1 species